AUUGAACGCUGGCGGAAUGCUUUACACAUGCAAGUCGAGCGGCAGCGCGGGGGCAACCCUGGCGGCGAGCGGCGAACGGGUGAGUAAUACAUCGGAACGUACCCAAUAGUGGGGGAUAACACAUCGAAAGAUGUGCUAAUACCGCAUACGACCUGAGGGUGAAAGGGGGGGAUCGCAAGACCUCUCGCCGUUGGAGCGGCCGAGGUUCGAUUAGCUAGUUGGUGGGGUAAAGGCCUACCAAGGCGACGAUCGAUAGCUGGUCUGAGAGGGUGAUCAGCCACACUGGGACUGAGACACGGCCCAGACUCCUACGGGAGGCAGCAGUGGGGAAUUUUGGACAAUGGGGGCAACCCUGAUCCAGCCAUUCCGCGUGAGUGAAGAAGGCCUUCGGGUUGUAAAGCUCUUUCGGCAGGAACGAAGCGGUUGUCCCUAAUACGGAUGGCUAAUGACGGUACCUGAAGAAGAAGCACCGGCUAACUACGUGCCAGCCGCCGCCGUAA
rnacentral:rRNA from 1 species